GAUGAACGCUAGCUACAGGCUUAACACAUGCAAGUCGAGGGGAAACGACAUCGAAAGCUUGCUUUUGAUGGGCGUCGACCGGCGCACGGGUNAGUAACGCGUAUCCAACCUGCCCACCACUUGGGGAUAACCUUGCGAAAGUAAGACUAAUACCCAAUGAUAUCCCACGAAGGCAUCCGAAUGGGAUUAAAGAUUUAUCGGUGAUGGAUGGGGAUGCGUCUGAUUAGCUUGUUGGCGGGGUAACGGCCCACCAAGGCAACGAUCAGUAGGGGUUCUGAGAGGAAGGUCCCCCACACUGGAACUGAGACACGGUCCAAACUCCUACGGGAGGCAGCAGUGAGGAAUAUUGGUCAAUGGGCGAGAGCCUGAACCAGCCAAGUAGCGUGCAGGACGACGGCCCUAUGGGUUGUAAACUGCUUUUAUAAGGGAAUAAAGUGGGUCUCGUGAGACUUUUUGCAUGUACCUUAUGAAUAAGGACCGGCUAAUUCCGUG
rnacentral:rRNA from 1 species